UACGUAGGGUGCAAGCGUUUGUCCGGAAUUAUUGGGCGUAAAGAGCUCGUAGGCGGUCUGUCGCGUCGGCUGUGAAAUCCCGAGGCUCAACCUCGGGUCUGCAGUCGAUACGGGCAAACUGGAGUGUUGCAGGGGAGACUGGAAUUCCUGGUGUAGCGGUGAAAUGCGCCAGAUAUCAGGAGGAACACCGGUGGCGAAGGCGGGUCUCUGGGCAACAACUGACGUGAGGCGCGAAAAGCGUGGGGGAGCAAACAGG
rnacentral:rRNA from 1 species